CUCUCUCUCCUCUCUUUCUUUCUCACAUAUACACCGCAAGUCCCCGUCCCUCCUCUCCCUCCUUCGCCUAUCUCACCCCCCUCAAUCCCUCAUCUCCCAUCUCCGCCGUUCAAAUGCAGAACCCUAAUUACCCAUCACUCAUACCUCACCGUCCGAUUCUUGCCCAGUAGCCAUUUCGUUCGCUGGAAUCUCUCGUUCUCAGCUUUCGCGACCCAGAAGAUCUCUAUCACGUACUCUCAGCUCGUCUGACCGUAAAGCUUCUAAAAUCUCCCUGAAGACGAGGUUGGAUUAGGGUUUCUAUUUCGCCAUGCCUCCUGGGCGUAAAAAGGGAGCGAAUCGAUCCAAGGCAAAGAAUCCGUUGAGUCUAGGAGAUCUUGUCCUUGCUAAGGUUAAAGGAUUCCCAGCUUGGCCGGCUAAGAUUAGCAGGCCUGAAGAUUGGGAACGGUCACCGGAUCCGAAGAAAUAUUUUGUUGAGUUCUUUGGAACUGCUGAAAUCGCUUUUGUUGCACCAGUUGAUAUUCAAGCAUUUACCAAUGAAGCAAAGAUUAAGUUGUCAGCUCGAUGUCAAGGUAAAACUGUAAACGAUUUUGCCCGUGCUGUGAAGGAGAUAUGCGAGGCGUUUGAAGAACUACAGCGAAAAAAAUCAAGUGAUUCUGUAGAGGAUAUUGACAGGACUGCUGUUGGCUGUGUAACUUCAUCAAACGAUGAUGGAGAAGACAGGAAACAUCUGGGGCACCAUGAAGCUUUUGCUUUAAAAGAUCAGGAAGAGAUUCUUGAACAGAGGGAAAGUGACAGUAAUGAGGGUCCUGAUGAUGAAGCGUAUCCAUUGGAACACUCUUCACGGAGCUGGGAGGAUACUGUUGCUGCAGAUGUUAAGCAUGGUAUUUUACGUAAUACCAAGCAGAAGUCGUCUCCUGUUUUAUCUGAUAAUAACAGGAAUAAAACAUCCAAUGAAGGUGCACUCUUACCAAACAAAGGCGGAGUUUCCAUCACAAGGUCAGCUUCGCCCCAUAAAGGAGAAAUUUCUUCAAGUACUCAUGCUGAAGUUAGUGGUGGAGCAACGUGCCCUGAGCAUGGUGAGGCAGAAGCUGAUUUGAAAGGCCAAGAUGCUAGUGGAGGUUAUAUGUUCUCGGAUGCUGAAGAGAAGUCUAUUGGUGUGAUUGGUGACAGACAUGAAGGUUCUCCUCCUCUGGCUGUGUCCUUGCAUUCCAAAAAUUCUGGUUCUGGACAGAAGGUUAUUGUUAAAGGUCACAGGACAAUAAAGGUGGUUAGUGAUUCAAAAAGGAAGGUAGAGAGUGCUGUGAAAGUACACAUGAAGUCACAUGGAGCUCUAAAAUUGUCGAAGCAUGAGUCUUCUGGUGCUUACCAUGAAUUCCCUGAAUCCAGAGACCAUUUAAAAGAUGAAAUUAUCUGCAAAACUGUGCAGGGAAAAAUUACUACAUGUGGCAGCAUGAAAGGAUCAUCCCCACAUGCUUCAAAAUCAGAUACAGAUGUUGGCAGUGGUAAGAAGACCAAGAGCUUGCUCAAAGCUAAGAAGCAGUUUUCAGGAGCAGAUAAAACUUCUGGAGUUCAUGUUCAUAAGAAAGCAACAUCAGGUAAUGAUGAGGAAGAGGGCAAUGACAAGGGGUUAUCAUCUGUUGGUUGCAGGAAAAAGAGGCCCCGGCCCAGACGGAGGAAAAAUGAGAUGGCUAUCAAUGAAGAUUCACAUCUAGCCAAAAGACCCAGUGUGGCUGAGAUUGAUGAUAUGGCUGAAAAGACAACUUUAGUGAGCAGGAGAAGUGAUUCCGCACGCUCUGCUGUUGAAAAUAAAGGAGAUGAACUUUCGGAAAGUAAGAAAUCCACAUCACACAUCAAAGCCGAAAAUUCUACAGCAUCAAGAACUGAAACAUGUGUUGCUGGCAGCCACUUAGCAAGUGAUGAGGCCGUUCUACCCCCAACUAAGCGACAUCGCCGUGCAUUGGAGGCAAUGACCGACUGUGCUACUAAAACUUCUGGAGAUACAACUGAAAAGAGUUCUGACUUCCAUAAAAAUGACAAGUCAAGUUCCGAUAAUGAUAGGUCCCCAACUAAAGUCUGUUCUAGACGGAGAUAUCAUCCAUUUGAUAAUGAGGAUGAAGAAAAUCAUAGAACUCCAGUUCACAGUGGAUCUGCAAGCACUUUGAAGACAGUGGCUUCAAAUGUGGUUUCUGUGCAUAAUGCUAAUAUAAAUCAAGAAAGUCCCAGCAAUUUUCAAUCAGAUGUUAAAGGUGUCAUGGUUGAAAGUUUGGAUUCAGCAAGACCUGAUGAUAGUGCUGCCCAGGAUAUGAUAUCAUCUGUUAAAAUUCUCAAAGACUCUCUAUCACUCACUCCAAGACAAAACAAAGAGAAGUCGAAAAAAACUAUGGAGUCACAUAUUGCCCAUAAUCCAGGGAAGCUAGAAUCUCAGAGACCAUCUUCUGAGGGUAAACCAACCAUCCUCUUGCCCAAAAUAUCCCCUGGGUCAGUUAAUGCAGCCAAGUCAGUAGAACAUAAAAUCAUCAAGCCCCUGAUUAAACCAUCCGGUACUGCUACGCUAAAGAAGGCACAGGGCGGAUCCAAAAGUUCAAAUGUGGUAUCUGAAAACUCAAACCGUUCUAAUAAUCAAGCGAUGGCACAAAGGAACAAGCCCACCUCUUCAUUAGAAAAAUUGAAGGUUACUGCAAAAGUCAUUUCACAUACGAAUGUUGGCUCUGAUAAUGUGUCUAACGUUGCUGGUUCACCAGAACUUAGCACUGAGAAAGAUAUUCUGCUAGGCGAACAAGUCAAAGUUAGUAAAGACGAUAAAGCUGCUACGCCAUUGACAGAUUCAAAGUUCACAGAUUCUUCUACAUCUAUGAAACACCUGAUUGCAGCUGCUCAAGCGAAGAGGAGAGAAGCACACUCUCAGUCUCUUCCCCAUGCAAAUCCUUUUCCGGCUUCUAUUUCUUCCCCACUUGUGGCCCAUGGAAGGAGUCCCAGCCCUGUUUCUGCAGUUCACCCUUUUUCAUCUGGCAAUGUGAUGCAACAUGAUAUGAAAGGUUUUCAUGCUCAUACAUCGUUAGCUUCUCCGACUGCUCAUUUUGGUAAUCUUGUACCACAAAAUCAAAUUGAUCCUGAAGAAUAUCAGAGUGGUCGAGUUACUCCAGGAUACAGGACACGUGGGGGUUCACUGAGUGGUGGUACCGAAGCAGCUGUUGCCCGUGAUGCUUUUGAAGGAAUGAUAGAGACAUUGUCAAGGACAAAGGAAAGUAUUGGCCGUGCAACUCGUCUUGCCAUUGACUGUGCCAAGUAUGGUAUUGCCAGUGAGGUUGUCGAACUCCUCAUUCGCAAGUUGGAGAAUGAACCCAGUUUUCAUCGUAGAAUUGAUCUGUUCUUUCUCGUGGAUUCUAUCACACAAUGUUCACAUAGUCAGAAAGGCAUUGCAGGAGCCUCAUACAUUCCUACAGUACAAGCAGCACUGCCACGUCUUUUAGGUGCUGCUGCUCCACCUGGGGCUGGUGCUCAUGAGAACCGUCGCCAAUGCCAUAAGGUUUUGAGGUUAUGGCUUGAGCGGAAAAUCCUACCGGAUUCGCUUCUUCGUCGUUACAUGGAUGAUAUUGGAGUUUCAAAUGAUGAUACGACUGCUGGAUUUUUUCUUAGACGUCCAUCUCGCGCUGAGCGUGCUCUGGAUGAUCCAAUCAGAGAAAUGGAUGGCAUUCUUGUUGAUGAAUAUGGAAGCAAUGCAACAUUUCAGUUGCCUGGAUUUCUAUCUUCUCGUGUAUUUGAGGAUGAAGAAGAUCUUCCUACUAAUUUAUGCAAGGAUACUGGUGAUGAAUCGCCAGAGGAAGCUGCCGAUGCUUUAGAAGAGCCAGAUACAAGUGCAGUUACUCCAAGUGAUAGGCGCGGUAACCACAUUUUAGAGGAGGUGGAUGGGGAACUUGAAAUGGAAGAUGUUUCUGGGUCGUCCAAAGAUGAAAGAACCGCUUCUGGGAAUGUUUCAGAUAGAAUUUUGGAAUCUACUUCAAAUAAUCUGAUAGAGCUACCUCCGGUACCGUUGGAUUCUCCACCGUUACCUUUAGAUUCUCCUCCUCCAUUACCACCAUUACCUCCUUCACCACCUCCACCACCCCCACCACUGUCUCCUUCACCACCUCCACCACCACCUUCAUCACUACCACCACCACCUCCAUCACUACCACCACCACCAUCAACGCCGUCUCCACCAUCUAUACCACCGCCGCCAUCAAUGCUGCUGCCACCAUCGAUGUUGCCUUCUACUUCACCACCCAUUGCAUAUCACUCUUCUCUUUCUCAAGAAUUUCACAGGACCCCAAAUGGUAACCAGCUUAUCCAAAUGGCUGGAAAUGCUCCUCUCCAGAGCCAUGAUAAUGUCACUGUGAAAAGUGAAAUGGUUCAGCAACAUUCUCCUUGCUUUGUGACAACAGGAGUCUGCAACAUGCAAGAUGUGUCUGCCUUUGGUUCCUCAAGAUCAUUUGGAUUUGGACAUAGUGACGUGUAUAUAUCCCCUCAAGCUUCUCUUACCAACCAGCACUUCCAACCUGGCAGUGCAUCUUUACCGCAUAGACCAUACCAUCCCCUCGCCCAUGCACAAACGCCAUCCAAUCAUUUCUCAUAUGUGAAGCCCACAGUUCAGCAACAGUUCCGUCCCUACUCUUUGCCAACCGUUCCCAAUGGACGGGGCCAAUAUGUAAGCGAUGAACAGUGGAGAGCUCAUUCUAGCAAUUUUAGUCCAGACAAUCAGCAUCAUGCUUGGGUGGCUGGAGGGAGGACACCAUCAUGUUCAGGGGCGCCUUUUGUCCAGGAUGGGUUCUAUCGGUCACCUGUGGAAAGACAAUGCACCAAUUCGAUGGGUUCACAACUUCCUGUACAUAGUCCUGCAGCACCCAGAGCUUCAAUUACAGGUCCUCCUGGCCAUGGUGUUCCCCAGAUGUUACCAUGCAGGUCAAACAUUGCACCUCUUAAUUGUUGGAGGCCAGCAUAGGAAUCAUUUUGAAUUAAAGUUACAUUGUUAAUUUGGCAUCUGCAAUUACACAAUGAAGCAGCAGAUUUUCAUCCCAUACUGCUUCAGAAAGCAGUCUUGGUCUUCUUGCUGACUUUCAAAUCGCCUGGCCAGUAAUUGAUGGCAUCGAGAUCUUCAGAGACACCUCAAAGGACUAUAUUGUAAUUUUUACUGAAAACUGCAUCCCGCAAGCUUAAUACUACUGAGUGUUUUUACAACAGCAAAUGAUGAUGUUAUAAAAAUGAAGUCAUUUGUAUGAUUUCUUGUUGGCAACAAAUCAAGGAAUUACAUUCAAAGUUUCUUGGCAGAUGAAAUUGCUUCAAACGUAGAGGCUGUCUGUGCAUCUCAUGGAGAUUAGUCUAUGCCAAAAAAAUGAGGAGAAACAGAAAUUUCAAUGAGUCACAAUCUUGAGGGGGAAACCCAGAUGAAGAAGCUAAGCAUCAUGAAGGAAGCUUUGUUGGGAAGGUCAUGUAGGUUUGAAAACAAGGAAGAAAGCCUAUGGAAACAAAUCAUAGCAUACUAGGAGUCUUCCCAAUAUAUAACUUUUUGAAAUUGGAAUUGGCAGCAAGAUUUACAUGUGGUGCAUCGAGAAUCCUAUGAGGUGGGGAAUGAUAUUCGCAUCAAAUUUUGAGAAGACAGGUGGUGUGUUGCUUGACCAUUAUGGCAUUUAUUUGGCUUCUCUCAAUGAUUUCAUGCAGCCAAGAAAUGUGAGGAUCUCACAUUACAGGAUAUGUAACAGGAAUUAUGUGGUCUAUGGGCCUUGCUUUUGAAGAAACCUCUCUAUGAAGAAUCAGAUGUAUCCAUAUGCUUGCUAAUGCCCCUCCAAACAACUUUAACGACUCCUCAAGUGACAGUUUGUGAUGCAAUGUGGGCCAAUUUCAUGGUCAAAUCCUUAAAACAUUUUUCUUUGAUUGAGGUCAGGGGAGAGCAAAGAUGCUCUGACAGUGUGAGUUUGGAAAUAUUGUGGUCUGCUAAGAGUCACUUCUUCUAUUGGUUGGUGGGCGAGCAGUCCAUGGUUCUGAAUAUAGGUAUCGGCAAGCAUAUUGGCCCGGACAAAAAACCUACAUGAUACAGUGUCACAUAUUGGUAUUGGCCACAACUCGGUCUGUAUCAUUAUCAUUUUUUGUCUUGACCAUUUAUUCAAUGGUGUAUUGGAUCAUUCUUUGGUAAGCACACUCUAUGUUGGGCUGACCUACUGUAAGUUGUAAUGUUGAGUCUUUUGGGUAUUGAUUGUUGUUAUAUGUCAUAAAUUGAUAUCAUAUAUUACUAAUA